rnacentral:rRNA from 1 species
GACGUAGGGUGCGAGCGUUGUCCGGAUUUAUUGGGCGUAAAGAGCUCGUAGGCGGCUCGUCGCGUCGACCGUGAAAACCCGCGGCUUAACUGCGGGCUUGCGGUUGAUACGGGCGGGCUAGAGUUCGGUAGGGGAGACUGGAAUCCUGGUGUAGCGGUGAAAUGCGCAGAUAUCGGGAGGAACACCAAUGGCGAAGGCAGCUCGCUGGGACGUUACUGACGCUGAGACGCGAAAGCGUGGGGAGCAGACAGG